rnacentral:sRNA from 1 species
ACAGCACACGGCAUUGGGCCGGAGGCACUUUCGGUGCACUUCACACUGUGAUUUUUCGAACUUCGAAGUGAGCGUGGGAGUGCUGGACUCGUCAGGCAAGGUCCCCGACGGCAUCCUGGAAGGGUCCCUGAGCGCCUGGGGCGCCUACAACGAAUGCGUGGACGUCGUGGCCCGGGACGUGGGGGCCGCGGACGACGUCCGCGAGUACUUCCGUGGCCAGUACUGCGCCCUGGACGUGCGGCCCUAUCUGCCGCCCAAGCCCAAGAAGUACAACCCGCAGGACAUGUUCCGCAACCUCACCGAAGUCCUGCCCAUCCUUCGGACGCUGGAACUGGACACUUCGCUGGCCUACAUGUACUUCCUCAAGUUCCGGAUCGGCAUGUGCGUUCCCUCCACCUGCAGCCUCCAAGACAUGCGCAGUCUGGCCG